rfam:Crinipellis perniciosa mitochondrion, complete genome.
AUUUAGAAGAAUUUAAUUUUGGUUCUGAUUGAACGUUUUUCAGUAGUUUUAAGACAUGCAAAUCAUUGUUUAUAAUAAGUUAAUUAUUUAAAAUAAAUAAUAUAAAACUUAUAAAAAAUAAGGUGUAAAGGUGAGUAAUAUAGAUUAGAUACCUUGUAGUCUUCUUAAAUAGGAGAUAAUUUUACUAAAUUUUUUUAAUUAAUUUAAAUUUAAGAUACUUAAAUUUUUUAAUUAUUAGGAAAAGUAAAGAUAAAUAAGCUAUUUAUUAAAAAAAGGAAAUUUUCUGCUAUAAGAUUCGAUCUAUUCUGUUUAAGGGUAGUUGGUGGAGUAAAAGCCUACCAAGCCAACGAUCAGAAGCCAUGUUUGAGAGAUCAGAUGGCCACAUUGGGAAUGAAAUGUCCCUAGUAGUGUUUAACUACCAGCAGUCAAGAAUAUUAGUCAAUGCUCGAAAGAGUGAACUAGCUAACUGAAAUCACAUUUUGAUCUUCGGGAGAAGUGAUAAAUGUCCAUAGUAAGGGAAAAAAAUGAUGCUACCUUACUCUUAGUGUUGUCCAAAUCUGGUGCCAGAAGACUCGGUAAGGCCAGGAACGCGAACGUUAGUCACAUUGACCAGGCGUAAAGGGUAUGUAGGCAGCUUGAAAGUUUUAUUUUUAUCAUAGCUAUUUCAAUUUAAAAUAAAUAAUUUAAUAAUUUUAAAUAUUUAUUUUUUUUUUUUGAUUUUAAAAAUAAAAUGAAUUAAAGAUAGAAUCAAAUUGAGGAUAAGCCGAAUAAUAUUUAGAGUAGGGAUUAAAUAUGCAAAUACUAAAUGGAAUACUAAAGGUGAAAGCUUUUUAUCUAAUAUUGAUCGACGCUGAGAUACUAAGGUGGGAAAAGGAAAUAGGAUUAGAGACCCUGGUACCUCCCACAGUCAACGAUGAAUGGUGGAUUGUUAGUUUUAUUUAAAACUAGUACCGAUGUUAACGCGAUAACCAUUCCGCCUUGAGAGUACGGUUGCAAAACUGGAACCAAAAAAAUUAGUCGGUCUCGGAGCAAACGAAGUGAAGCAUGUUAUUUAAUACGAUAAUCCGCGUAAAAUCUUACCAGUUCUUGUAUAGCCGUAUUUAUUUAGAAAAUUAUAUUGACAUAUUUUAUUAAGUAUGUGAUAGAAUUUUUUAUAGUAAUAUAUGAGUAGUUAUUAUUAAUUUAAUAACUCGUUUACAGGUGUUGCAUGGCUGUCGUCAGUCCGUGUUUUGAGAAGUUAGGUUAAAUCCACUAACGGACAAAAUCCCUGUUGUAAAUUUAUACUUUACAAUUAAUGAAUUUUAUAUACUUUCAUUUGGGGCUAAGACAAGUCGUUAUGGCCCUAAUGAACUGGGCUAUUGAUGUGCCACAAAGACUUUUACAAAGUGAUGCAAUAACCAGACCUUAUAUUUAUUGAAUUUAGAUCAUCCGAUCGCUACGCUGCUAAGCAGCUUUAGCAUUCAAUGAAUAUGUUAUCUUUUUUUAAAUUAAAAAAAAAAUUUAAGGAUCAUAAGGAAUAGCUAAUCAUUAAAGAAAGUCAAAAUUAUUAAAAAAUUUUAGACGAAUUGUCGCCUGAAAUUCGGCGACAUGAAGAAGGAAUUUCGAGUAAUCGUUGAUCACUAGCGCAACGGUGAAGAGUGCAUCCGUGAUGAACUAACCGUCUGUCACUGGGAAGGAAUUCGGAUAGGGGGAAAUUGUAUCCUAAUUAUAACUAUUCAAAGAUAUUUAGUUUUAAUAUAAAAAUAAAAACUUUAUUGAUUUAAUAUUUUAAAUCUUUUAAAAAAAAAACAUCUUUGUUUAAAUAAUUAGUUAUUUUUAACCCAUUUGAGUAACAUCUCAAAAGUCAUAGCAAGGUAGCUGUACUGGAAGGUGCUGCUGGAAAAUAAUUUUA